rnacentral:rRNA from 1 species
AGUUUGAUCCUGGCUCAGGACGAACGCUAGCUACAGGCUUAACACAUGCAAGUCGAGGGGCAGCAUUGGGAUAGCUUGCUAUUCCAGAUGGCGACCGGCGCACGGGUGAGUAACGCGUAUCCAACCUUCCCCUUAGUAGGGCAUAGCCCGGCGAAAGUCGGAUUAAUACCCUAUGUUGUAUAUUGAGGACAUCUGACUUAUACCAAAGAUUCAUCGCUAAGGGAUGGGGAUGCGUCCGAUUAGGCAGCAGGCGGGGCAACGGCCCACCUGGCCUACGAUCGGUAGGGGUUCUGAGAGGAAGGUCCCCCACAUUGGAACUGAGACACGGUCCAAACUCCUACGGGAGGCAGCAGUGAGGAAUAUUGGUCAAUGGGCGCGAGCCUGAACCAGCCAAGUAGCGUGGGGGAUGACUGCCCUAUGGGUUGUAAACCCCUUUUGCGCGGGGAUAAACCGGCGGACGCGUCCGCCGCUGCAGGUACCGCGCGAAUAAGGACCGGCUAAUUCCGUGCC